GACAGAGGGGGCAAGCGUUGCUCGGAAUUACUGGGCGUAAAGGGCGCGUAGGCGGUCUGUUAAGUUCGGUGUGAAAGCCCUCGGCUCACCCGAGGAAGUGCGCCGGAUACUGGCAGACUUGAGUACCGGAGAGGAGGGUGGAAUUCCUGGUGUAGCGGUGAAAUGCGUAGAUAUCAGGAGGAACACCGGUGGCGAAGGCGGCCCUCUGGACGAGUACUGACGCUGAGGCGCGAAAGCGUGGGGAGCAAACAGG
rnacentral:rRNA from 1 species